GCAGACACAGAUUCGGUCAAAAACAAGGGCGGAAGGACCGCUGAUCAGACCGUUUGGGCUCAUUUUGAGAAGAAAAAAUAUAAUGCAAAAUGUAAGAACUGGACUAUCAUCUGCAAGUACUGCCGGACCGAGUCCAAGCAAGGGCGCCUUCAGGAGAUGCGCGUCCAUAUCGCGCAAAAGUGCCCCCGGAGUGCCUUCGGACACACAUGAGCAGGUCCCAUGAGGCGCAAAGGCACAUAGGGCCCACGAACAACGUUUGCAUACCAUGGACGUCAUAAAAUACAGCAUUUUCAGGGUUUCGGCAGGUUCCGGCAGGUUCCGGCAGGUUUCGCAGAAGGGUCCAAAAAACGGAAACUAUUUCGGCAUUGGCAGUAAGGUUUCGGCCCGUACACUGCGCACGGGCCGCCUUGCGGUUUCAACCAGCAAAAAAUAUAAAGAACGUUUUGAUGUAGUCUUUGCGAUUCCGAAUUGAGCCAGCUCACCCUUUGUGUGUCAUCUGAGUUGGUUGCACUUGCAUGUUG
rnacentral:lncRNA from 1 species